CAAGUCGAGUGGGUUUAGACCCACGGCAAACGGUGGAGUAAUACCCAGGAACGUACCCUUAGUUGAGCAUAAUCCACCGAAAGGUGGGAUAAUUCUCAAUGUGAUCGCAAGAUUAAAGUCGCAAGACGCUAAGGAAGCGGCCUGGCCACCAUCAGCUAGUUGGUAAGGGUAAUGGCUUACCAAGGCUUUGACGGUUAGGGGCCCCGAGAGGGGAAACCUCCACACUGGAACUGAGACACGGUCCAG
rnacentral:rRNA from 1 species